GACGUAGGGCGCGAGCGUUGUCCGGAAUUACUGGGCGUAAAGAGCUCGUAGGUGGUUUGUCGCGUUGUUCGUGAAAACUCACAGCUUAACUGUGGGCGUGCGGGCGAUACGGGCAGACUUGAGUACUGCAGGGGAGACUGGAAUUCCUGGUGUAGCGGUGGAAUGCGCAGAUAUCAGGAGGAACACCGGUGGCGAAGGCGGGUCUCUGGGCAGUAACUGACGCUGAGGAGCGAAAGCGUGGGGAGCGAACAGG
rnacentral:rRNA from 1 species